rnacentral:lncRNA from 1 species
UUAUGAAUGAGCCUGCUCGGUUGUGUUUUUCCCAGCAGCUCGAGUACAGAGGGGAUUGACACCAAGGUGGACAUUGCUGGCAUGCCCCCAAAGGGCUGGGAGGGCCAGGAAGUCACCUGCCAGCACCUGAUUAGGAUGCAGAGAGAAUGACUGAGACAGACAGCGCCAGGAGAGGGGCUCAUGAUAGAUAAAAGGAGGCAGGGAGCAGGGAAGGAGCAUGGGCUAGUGGUUGGAGCAGGGGACUAGUAAUCAGCAGCCAGGGCUCUGUUCCUGAUGCUGCCCAUCACUCACUCUGUUAUUGAACCUCUCUGUGCCUCAGUUGUCCCAUCUGUAAAAUGGAAGUGUUGAUAGUUCUCUGUCCUUGAGGGUGUUGAUUAAUGCUGGGUGGGAAACAGUCUCCCCAUCCUGCAAAGCAUAUUGAGCUGUCAGAAAAAUUCCCAUUCUACACUGGGACAAAAUCAGGGUCUUUUGAAGUUAUUGGUGGUGAGGGCUCUAACCUGGGGUGUGAGAGACCCAGGUUCAAGGUCCCGCUCUGAAUCAGGCAGAGCAAGGAACCAUCUGGGUCUUCCACAUCCCAGGUGAGUGCCCAAACCACCAUGCUAAUGGUUAUUCUGGGACGGGGGUGUCUCUCUCUCUCUCUCUCGCUCAGCAAUUCCAUCCUGGAUCCGAGACACCAUCUCCAAUGACAGUGUCACAAAAGUGUCGCUGUCGACAAAUCAGCAUUUUCCAAUGAAAACAUAUUUUGUCAGAAAAUUCCUGCCCAGGUUUGGGCUACUGCUGUGUCCUAAGGAAAUCAGAACAAACUAAUGUAACUAAACUAACAAGCCAAUGGGCAUGUAGGAUCAGAUGUUGCUGUUGGUCUGAAAGCCCUGUCUUGAUCUGCAAUCUCUCUCCUCCCUCUCCAAUUACUGAAGUUCAUACCCAGCUGUUCCUCUCGCCCAAUACACAGGUUUUUCUUGACGCUCACCCCAUAAUGCCACCCUGGCUUGCCCAGCCAGGGGGUCUCUCAAAGGCAAGGUGAGGUACUGCUGUGGUUGGGCUCUCGGUCCCAGCAGAUCCAGGGAGUGAGGGAGGCAGGCUGUGACGGCAUAUGGCGGACCAGAGAUUCUGCCAGCUGACUACCGACUCUAGUUCCUCUGCGAGGGGCGAUUCCUGUGCGUUCUACAAGAACAGGCCCCGUGGAUUGCACCAACCAGAGUUACUCCCCGCUGAGGGAGCGGCUCACAACGCCGGUUAUUCAUAGACAUAGCAGUUCCAAAAGGCCAGUAAUGCUACUCCUCCUCUUCCCCCACCGCAAGCCUUCAGAGGCAGCUAAGUCUGUCACACACAAGCGAUAACAGUGUUAGGCCAUAUAAUCCCUCCUUUACUUGACUUUGGGUUAUUUUGAGCAGGAGAUUAAAGGAGAUUAUCU